rnacentral:lncRNA from 1 species
ACCAUGAGUGACACCUAGCAGCAUAUCAUGGUUACCCAAGCUAAUCAGAAGAGGUGGAUAACCUAUUCAGUUUAGGAUUACAAAUGCAAUACGGUCUUUCUCUAAUACAAUACUCUUGACCACAUUGUUUGGUUUGAUAGUUUAUUCAUGUCUACUAUCCAAUGUGAUUCGUGUGCUUAUAUGAUUACCUUGAAUGUGAUUUGGAACGACUUCCUAAAUCUCAUUCAUACUCUGGCUAGAGAUUCUUAAUCAUAUCAUAGAGUAUUCUCCCCCAAACGGUUUGAAGGUUAGAGAUCCCUUGUUGCACAUUCACUUACCUCCAUGGCUAAGUGGCUUAACCCCGACGAUG